rnacentral:rRNA from 1 species
GACGAACGCUGGCGGCGUGCUUAACACAUGCAAGUCGAACGAUGAAGCCUUAGCUUGCUUUGGUGGAUUAGUGGCGAACGGGUGAGUAACACGUGAGCAACGUGCCCAGGACUCUGGAAUAACCGCGGGAAACCGUGGCUAAUACCGGAUAGGUGCCGAGGCCGCAUGGUCUUCGGUUGGAAAGUUUUUGCGGUUCUGGAUCGGCUCACGGCCUAUCAGCUUGUUGGUGGGGUAAUGGCCUACCAAGGCGACGACGGGUAGCCGGCCUGAGAGGGUGACCGGCCACACUGGGACUGAGACACGGCCCAGACUCCUACGGGAGGCAGCAGUGGGGAAUAUUGCACAAUGGGCGCAAGCCUGAUGCAGCAACGCCGCGUGGGGGAUGACGGCCUUCGGGUUGUAAACCUCUUUUAGUAGGGAAGAAGCGCAAGUGACGGUACCUGCAGAAAAAGUACCGGCUAACUACGUG